rnacentral:rRNA from 1 species
UACGAAGGGGGCUAGCGUUGCUCGGAAUCACUGGGCGUAAAGCGCACGUAGGCGGAUCUUUAAGUCAGGGGUGAAAUCCUGGAGCUCAACUCCAGAACUGCCUUUGAUACUGGGGAUCUCGAGUCCGGAAGAGGUGAGUGGAACUCCGAGUGUAGAGGUGAAAUUCGUAGAUAUUCGCAAGAACACCAGUGGCGAAGGCGGCUCACUGGCCCGAUACUGACGCUGAGGCACGAAAGCGUGGGG